GACUGAUUUGAGUGCAGUGGUUUUAACAAUUAAUUAAUCAUUACCAGUUACAGGUUUCUUUUUUCCUUCUCUACUCCCACUGCUUCACUUGACUAGCCUUAU
rnacentral:Y_RNA from 1 species